rnacentral:rRNA from 1 species
GAUGAACGCUGGCGGCGUGCCUAACACAUGCAAGUCGAGCGAAGCGGGGACGGGUGAGUAACACGUGGAUCACCUCCUAUAAGACUGGGAUAACUUCGGGAAACCGGAGCUAAACCGGAUACUUAUAGAUGGAUCGGAGCUGCCUUAGCUAGUUGGUAAGGUAACGGCUUACCAAGGAAACGAUGCAUAGCCGACCUGAGAGGGUGAGAGCCCACCAUGGAACUUAGACACGGUCCAGGCUCCUUCGGGGAGCAAGUGUAGGGGAGCUUCCGCAAUGGGCGAAAGCCUGACGGAGCAAAUCCGGUUGGUUGAUGGAGGGCUUCGGAUCGUAAAACUCUGUUAUUAGGGAAGCGGUACCUAAUCAGAAAGCCACGGCUAACUACGGGCCAGCAGCCGGGGUAAUAC